CUUUAUUUUAUUUUUAUAUGGUGCUGAGGAUUGAUCCCAGAGCCCCGCGAAUGCCAGGCGAGCGCGCUACCGCUUGAGCCACAUCCCCAGCCCAAUGGGUUGAAUUUCUAUCAUAUGGAUAUUUCUCCUUCCUGAAGAUUUAAGAAAAGAAGCUUAUCCAAGACUCUGUUUCUGCAUCAUCCUUCCUCAGUCACCCUGGCCCUCACACAUUCUAAAGUCCUCUGACCUUGGCCAGCAGCAGUUUCGUGGCAUAAAGUUGUUUGCCUAACUAUGCCUGUACCAUCACAAUACAACAUAAUCAAAGUUAACCACGUCCAAGUCAUUAAGAUGAAACUAAGAUUUGAGCCCCUAAAAAAAUCUUACAGCAAGAGAAUUUAGAAUGACAUGUUUUUGUUGGUGGUGGCAAACUCAGCAAAUUCAAUGGACUCCAUUACUUUAAGUUUAUACUUCUGUCCUUCCCAUUUUCUCCCUGUUGUGGCAUCUAAGUUUUGAAGGGACUUUAUUGUACACGGGUGCUCAGGUGGAGCUGUGGUGGGCUGAGGAGUCACAGGGGCAGCAAAGGAAGAUAAUCAAAGAAAACCUCAAUUAUUAUCUCCAGAUGCAAGUCCAUCACAACGGGAAAUGGUGAAGUGUCUGAAGGAAGCUGUCUGGGUUCUGGUACCCUGAGUGACUUCUAGAGCUGGCUUCCCUGGGUAGUGAAUUGCUGUCACCCAUCCUGCCAUCUCCAAGGCUCAUGGUGAAGAAUGUGUAAAAGAUUUACAAUGCUGGCUUCCUGCUUUCUUUAGGACCUUUCCUUUAAUAAUGACCGUGUUUGUCCAUGGCAGAGGACUAGCCAAGCUCACAGGUAUGCUCCACUAAUACUCAAGUGAACCCACAUGAGAUUAGAAUGAAGUAGAAAAUGAGUAAAACAGGAACCUCAAUUUAAGAGUCUGGUUUCUUGGACCAUUUAAAAGUUAACAAACCCUCAUAUCUCCAUUAGACUAUAUACAUUUUCUUUUACUUAUAAUUAUUUGUGAAUAACUUAAAAUAUUAUUUUAAGAUUUGGAGUUAUCGAUUUUAUACAUGUUUGUUACAAAACAUUUUGAAUAUAUGGAGAAGUAUAUAAUAAACAAAAUAUACAUAAUCCCACCUCCUCCAAAUAAUAACAUUUAACAGAUAGGAUUAUUUAUUUGUGGUGCUUUUUCUCUCAUACAAAUAAACAUAAGCUUUUAGAAAGGGAAAAAAAUUGAUUAUGUUGUUUUGUAUUCUAAAAACAGAGUGAUGAAUAUGUUCCUAUGUUAUUUUACUUUCUUUGAAAUGUGAUUGUUAUAGCUGUGUAAUCUUCCAUCCUGUGGAUGUAUGAUAUUUUAUCUGAUCAAUUUCGUAUUAGACUUUUUGGUUAGAUGUUUAUGAUCUUUUUAACAUUUCAAUUAUGUAAAUCAUACUGAAAUGUUUACAUUGGUAUUAAAACAUUGGUGUUUUAUGAUAACUUCAUAGAAGUGAAAUUACUGGAUUAAAUGUUAUGAACAUUGUUAGGCUCUUGAUAUAUCAUAGUUCAUCAUACCCCAAACCUCACAAACUAUAAGAUGUAUCUUUAUUAUUUAUGUAUUUUACAUCUGUAAGAAAAGAAAUGACAAUGAAACCUAACGCUUUCUCAUCA